rnacentral:rRNA from 1 species
UACGUAGGUGCAGCAGUGUUCGGCGAAUUAUUGGGCGUAAAGAGCUCGUAGGCGGUUUGUCGCGUCUGCUGUGAAAACUCGGGGCUUAACUCCGGGCCUGCAGUGGGUACGGGCAGACUAGAGUGCGGUAGGGGAGACUGGAAUUCCUGGUGUAGCGGUGAAAUGCGCAGAUAUCAGGAGGAACACCGGUGGCGAAGGCGGAUCUCUGGGCCGUAACUGACGCUGAGGAGCGAAAGCGUGGGGAGCGAACAGG